GUGUGUGUGUGCGCGUGUGUGCGUGUGUGUGUGUGUGCGUGUGUGUGUGUGUGUGUGUGUGUGCACGCGCGCGCAAGAAAGUAAGAGGCAUGACUGCCGUGUGUCCUAAAGCUUGACAUUGGUGGUUCAUCGCCAUGUCGGGCUUAAAAAACGAAUUCCUUCACACGCAACGAAGUCAGCAGAACAGAGAACUAUAAGUGGACGCUGGCUGUUAAAAAAAAAACUGGAGAGGAGGAAUUCCAAAGCUUUAGCCAAAAUAUCAAUAAUAAUUUUCCAGAAGCUUUUGUGCGCUUCCACACUUUGUCUGUCCUCGAAAAAUGUGGUCAUUUCAAGUUUUUCCAGUUUUUCUUUUUUUUUUUUACAAAUGUAAACAGUGUGUGAAAAAAUAAGGGAUCAAGCAUUCAGCAUAUCCGACAAUAACAUUAACUAAACAAACAUUACUCGAGACAGAUAAUACAGACUUUAACUGAAAGAAGGCAACAACCACCUAGUCUAUUCAUGUGCCCUUUUACAAAUGUCUCUGUCCUCAUCGUUUGGUGGUUUUACAACAUGGCAGACCCUGACGACCAAAUGCCCACUGAACAUUUGGUUAUCAGGGUCAUGUUCAAAGUAGCGGCUAAUGUUUCAGAUGGCGUAAGCCUUGCGUUUAGUGACAGAAGAGCAAGGACCGAAUUUAAAUAUUGACAAAAUAAACCGUCUUCAAAUGUAUAGUUAACAGAAAAACAACUUCAUAAGGUAGACAGAGUCAACGGAACCGUAUCUGUUCUUUAAAACCUUGCAUCAACACAUACAUUCUAAAUGAUCAUUUUAAGAUGUUUGAUAUAUUCUUAUUAUGGUUGUAUUUUAUUAUCAGUCGCAUAAACAGGAGAAACCGACAGACACGUCUCAGGGAGAGAAAAAGAAACAGGUUUAUUGCGGAAAAACGAAUGAAUUGACAGUUAAAGGCUGACGCCAACAAUCAUUAAAACAAUCUGCUCGGUAGUAAAAUGUUAUAAGCUCUCUAGAAAAACAAAACGUAUUCUAUUUUUAAAGUUUACUCCUUAUUACUUUGUUUUCCCUCAUAUUAACGUUUAGUGGCUUCACUAACCUCUCCGAAAAGAUGCAUCCUCCAUUACGCACGGCUUCUUCUUUACGUUUUUGGGGCGAAUAUGUAUUCAAAUGUGCGUGGAUCAGUGAGUAAAAGUACUUUUAAUGUCCAGAUAAAUAAUAAUUUCCAUCUAUUCCCUUUUUUCUAUUUCUUACAAUGACGCACGUAUACAUGCACAUUUUGAAGUUCCAUCAACGCGCACACAACCAAAAGUACACAAAUGCUGUUUUGCAGGGAUUUAAAAAAUACCUGCAGCUGCAUUUUGCAGAUGUAAUUUGCAAUACACAUAUAAAAAAAUAUACCUAAUUUUUUAAUGGCAACACUUUCUCCAGAAACCUAUUCUAAAUGCUGAAUGGAAAUGUCCCAAAUACCUUGAAGCCAUACAUCGGCAAUAGGAAAAACGCAAAUAGUUGUGAACCAAAGCUUUACUUUCCAUAGAACCUCAAGUAAAUUCAGAUAAGAAAUUGGAACCAUUUGAAAUGCAGAGAUUUAUUCUAUUUGAUUUCGUAACCUUGUCACAGUGGACACUCCCUGGCUCUCCGCUUCGAGGCCACCUUGGAGCUCGUUCUGCAUAGGCUGCAACCUGACUCUAAUGUGCUGUGAAUGGGAGACCUGGUCGCGGAUUAGGACCGCGGCGGCUGGCCAGGGCCCCACAGCCCGACGUGGACCCAUGGGGACCCAAGGGGCUCCCGAUGGCACACGUGAAACGCAACCUUGAAACAUCACACACACACACUAAGACGGCGCAAGUACCAACUAACGCCCCCGUGAAGUGUAUCAAAACAGGAAAAGCAACCCGCCGUCCACUUUAUUUGGAUAAAUUGCAGACGCACACAAGCAACGGCAGUGUCUUCAGGACCACACGCUCCGCCUUCUCGGUCAAUCCAGACAAAUUCUAGGAGUUGUGUGCUGAAGCUUUUAAGCUGUAAUUGAGCACAGGAUGCCCAGGAAAACCAAAGCCAGCUCUACACAGACCUGCAUUUUUAUAGCUGCUAUAGUAUUCUAGUGCGCUUUUUUUUCCCUCCCUCCUCCUCCUCCCAGGCCAGACAGACACCACAAAACUGGUCAAGCGUGAUAGGAAGUCGCCACCUAAACCAUUCGCCAUUCAAAGUCAGCAGCUGAGGAUUAACAACAACACAGAGACAAACCAUGUCUGUACUCAACUAAGGUGACAGGGGCAUGUGGGCCGACGGCGAUGGCGACGACAGGCGGGCCGUGGCGGACCACACAGGGGCCCAUUUGCAAGGGGGGAAAGCUGACCAACUCCACGGUCAACGGGAGCACCUCUGACGAACCAUGUGGAGGCUCUGACCUGCGGAGGGAAUCCUGGGGAACCCGGCGUCAGGAGGAGCAGCGGGGCCUGGACAAAAAAGGACAGAGAAUUUAACCAUUGAAAAGAGAGAAUGGAAAGGAAUGAGAUAAAGAAAUCACGUUUCAAUUUGUUUAGGAAAAAAGGGACUUAAAUGCACAAACUAGGCAAUAGUAAAAAAAAAAAACUAAAAAAAUAUCCAAGUUCUCCGAUUGUGCUCGUAUUUUCUGAGAAAAUAUGAUCCUCCGUUUUAAUGCAGAGUAGAAUCGGAUCGGGCCUCGCGAAUAGUAAAAAUGCGUUUUCUUUCUCUACACUUUAAUACAUUUGGGUUUUUUUUUCAA